rnacentral:rRNA from 1 species
UACGGCGGUCAUAGCGGCGGGGUCACACCCGGUCUCGUUUCGACCCCGGAAGUUAAGCCCGCCAGCGAUCCCGGGUGUACUGCCCUCCGGGAGGG